CGAACGCUGGCGGCGUGCUUAACACAUGCAAGUCGAACGGAAAGGCCCUGCUUUUGUGGGGUGCUCGAGUGGCGAACGGGUGAGUAACACGUGAGUAACCUGCCCUUGACUUUGGGAUAACUUCAGGAAACUGGGGCUAAUACCGGAUAGGAGCUCCUGCUGCAUGGUGGGGGUUGGAAAGUUUCGGCGGUUGGGGAUGGACUCGCGGCUUAUCAGCUUGUUGGUGGGGUAGUGGCUUACCAAGGCUUUGACGGGUAGCCGGCCUGAGAGGGUGACCGGCCACAUUGGGACUGAGAUACGGCCCAGACUCCUACGGGAGGCAGCUGUGGGGAAUAUUGCACAAUGGGCGGAAGCCUGAUGCAGCAACGCCGCGUGCGGGAUGACGGCCUUCGGGUUGUAAACCGCUUUCGCCUGUGACGAAGCGUGAGUGACGGUAAUGGGUAAAGAAGCACCGGCUAACUACGUG
rnacentral:rRNA from 1 species